GACGAACCGUACGAACGUUAUUCGGAAUUACUGGGCGUAAAGCGUGCGCAGGCGGUUCUAUAAGACAGAUGUGAAAUCCCCGGGCUCAACCUGGGAACUGCAUUUGUGACUGUAGAGCUGGAGUACGGCAGAGGGGGAUGGAAUUCCGCGUGUAGCAGUGAAAUGCGUAGAUAUGCGGAGGAACACCGAUGGCGAAGGCAAUCCCCUGGGCCUGUACUGACGCUCAUGCACGAAAGCGUGGGGAGCAAACAGG
rnacentral:rRNA from 1 species